UUAAAGAAAAGCUUACCAUAUCAAAUUAUAUUUUAAUGUUAAGUGCUUAAUAACUGAGCUCCUUAACAUACUGUAGAAUGUGUAAUCUCAAUCAUGGUGGAAUGGAAAUACUGUCAAGGAUUUAGAUCAAAAAAGAUGGGUUCAUUGGUAUGUCAUCAGGAGUUAAAAUAAAUUUCCUUGAGAGAAUGUGAAAAGCAAUGUAAAAUGUGCUAAGAGCAGGUGUUUGGCCUACCUAUUGGAAUGCAUGCAUCCCAUAUCAAGUUUGCUCCUGAUUCAACCUUCCUACAAACUCAGCACCUGGGAGGAAGCUGUGAUUGCUCAAGUAAUUGAGUUCCUAUACCCACAUAGGAGACUCACAGUGAGAAUCCAUCUCUUCAGCUUCCUGGCUGUAUGGGACAAUUGGUGAAUGGAACAGUGGAUGUGAGCUCUUUCUAACUUCCCUUCUCAAAUGAAAUAAAUAAAUAGAAUAAUAAAAUGUGGUCAUCUCCCUGGUUGGCCUGGGAAAGCAGUAGAAGAUGGCCUAAAGUCUUGGGAGCCUGCAUCCACAUGGAAAGAAGCUCCUGGCUCUUUGCUUUGGAUCAGCUCUGGUCUGGCCAUUGCAGCCACUUGGGGAGUGAACCAGCAGACAGAAGAUCUUUCUGUCUGUCUCUCCUUCUCUCUGUAAAUCUGACUUUCCAAUAAAAAUAAA